rnacentral:rRNA from 1 species
UACCGACGGCCCGAGUGGUAGCCACUCUUAUUGGGCCUAAAGCGUCCGUAGCCGGCUUGGCAAGUCCCCUGGGAAAUCUGGCGGCUUAACCGUCAGGCGUCCAGAGGAUACUGCCAGGCUUGGGACCGGGAGAGGUGAGAGGUACCUCAGGGGUAGGGGUGAAAUCUUGUGAUCCCUGAGGGACCACCAGUGGCGAAGGCGUCUCACUAGAACGGGUCCGACGGUCAGGGACGAAAGCUGGGGGCACGAACCGG